GGCCCUACGGGGCGCAGCAGUCGCGAAAACUUUGCAAUACACGAAAGUGUGACAGGGCUAUCCCGAGUGCCAUCCGCUGAGGAAGGCUUUUACCCAGUCUAGAAGGCUGGGGGAAUAAGGAGAGGGCAAGUCUGGUGUCAGCCGCCGCGGUAAUACCAGCUCUCCGAGUGGUGUGGAUGUUUAUUGGGCCUAAAGCAUCCGUAGCUGGCUAAGUUAGUCCCCUGUUAAAUCCAACGAAUUAAUCGUUGGAUCGCGGGGGAUACUGCUUGGCUAGGGGACGAGAGAGGCAGACGGUAUUUCCGGGGUAGGGGUGAAAUCCUAUAAUCCCGGGAAGACCACCAGUGGCGAAGGCUGUCUGCUAGAACGCGCCCGACGGUGAGGGAUGAAAGCUGGGGGAGCGAACCGGAUUAGAUACCCGGGUAGUCCCAGCUGUAAACGAUGCAGGCUAGGUGUUUGGACGGCCACGUGCCGUUCUAGUGCCGCAGGGAAGCUGUUAAGCCUGCCGCCUGGGGAGUACGAUCGCAAGAUUGAAACUUAAAGGAAUUGGCGGGGGAGCACCACAAGGGGUGAAGCUUGCGGUUUAAUUGGAGUCAACGCCGGAAAUCUCAC
rnacentral:rRNA from 1 species